rnacentral:rRNA from 1 species
UACGUACGAGGCGAGCGUUAUCCGGAAUUACUGGGCGUAAAGCGCGCGCAGGUGGUUCGUUAAGUAGGGCGUGAAAUCUCCCGGCCUAACUGGGAGGGGUCGCCCUAGACUGGCGGACUUGAGGCUGGCAGAGGUAGGCGGAAUUCCGGGUGUAGCGGUGGAAUGCGUAGAGAUCCGGAGGAACACCAGCGGCGAAAGCACUCUGCUGGGCCGACACUGACACUGAGAGACGAAAGCUAGGGGAGCGAAUGGG